UAGUAUCUUACUGUAAUUUAUUGUAUAAUUACAGUUUUGUACAUUACAUACAAUACAUUGUGUGAUUAAGAUUUCGAACAAUUUUUUUUAGUAUUCUUUUAACAACUCUUACUGACAUGGAUUUGACAAAUCCACGCAGGGCACGUCAAACAUCUAGUUGACUUUUUUGAAUCACGUGCUAGGCGUGAGAAAGAGACUAGACUGACUCUGCGUUCCAGCUCCAAGAGAUCACAGAAUGACAAAAAAGAAAAUAGGCCGACACAUUUAAUGAGACGACCUGAUGGUGAAAACACCGUUCAACUAUCACCAUUAACAACGAUUUCAAACCUGAUAAAACCGUGUGUUGAACAUGGCCACUUUAACGAAGAGACUGUUCUCUGCAAUAUUUAAGGUAAUAACAGAUAAGCUAGACCGACUUUAUUCCGAACGCUGCACAUUAUUGCAAGUUGUACCCCUCGUGUCACCAAAAAUAAUGAAAAAUUUUCAUUGGAUAUUGGUGCUCCUGGUCAUAUUUGUUUUAAAGCUGCUGAAAUGCCAGCCUCUUCAUCAUCACACGUCUCACCUAAAUUGUCUAGACAAGUAAACAGACCACGACAGGUUUCAAAAAUACCUAUUAGGAUUUCAGGAAAUAAAAACCUAAAGGAUAGUAAAUCUAAGACGACAUCACAGUUACUAGAAUCUACUAAAAGACAUAACCAUUCAACCGAUGUGAAUAUGCGUCGUCAUACUAUACGAUUUGAUGAAGAUGU